rnacentral:lncRNA from 1 species
AGAGGCCAAAGAGGAAGAGGAGGCCCUGCUACAACAGAUUCAUCCACAAGUGCAAAGACAAUAAACUAUUUUAACGUUACAUGUAAAGAACUUAAUUAUACUUCCAAAUAAAAAUAAUAUAUAUAUUACCUGUAAA